UUUUGCAGGUAUUUGCUGUUUUGGCUUGUGAUUUUGAGUGCAAAGUUUUCAUUUGCUUAUUUCCUACAGAUCAGGCCAUUGGUAAAACCAACCCAGACAAUAGUAAAUAUGGAUACCAUACAAUAUUCUUGGCAUGAUUUUGUAUCUCAACAUAAUCAUAAUGCUCUGACUGUGGCUAGCUUAUGGUCUCUUGUAAUUGCUGUAAGUUGGAACUUCUUGAGGUCUUAAAGAAAAGUUAUUUAUCAAACAUGUUAUGGCACAUUUACUUCAACGUAAUUGUAAUCAUAAUAAAUUUGAAGAUAAAUGAAUGGG